UAGGGAAUCUUCGGCAAUGGGGGCAACCCUGACCGAGCAACGCCGCGUGAGUGAAGAAGAUUUUCGGAUCGUAAAGCUCUGUUGUAAGAGAAGAACGUGUGUGAGAGUGGAAAGUUCACACAGUGACGGUAACUUACCAGAAAGGGACGGCUAACUACGUGCCAA
rnacentral:rRNA from 1 species